GAUCUAAAAUAGAAUUGAACUCAACUGCUCUCCGCUAGAGGUCCCAGCACUUUGGAAUUCCAAGUUUGGUUAAGGUACAGUGUUGUGCGCCACUUUUUAACUGCCAUUACAACUGACAGAUUGCUCUUCCUAUGAUGUCGUCGUUUUCAUCCUGUCACUCUCGCAGUCUACCAUUCAGGGCUCUCCACAAUCCAUUCGCAACCUCUUUCACUAACGUAUAAU
rnacentral:lncRNA from 1 species